rnacentral:rRNA from 1 species
GGCAUACGGGUGAGUAACACGUGGGCAAUCUGCCCGGAGGUGGGGGAUAACUCCCGGAAACGGGGGCUAAUACCGCAUGAUAUCGCGAGAGCUUCGGCUCUUGCGAUCAAAGCUAGCCUCUUCUUGAAAGCUAGCGCCAUCGGAGGAGCUCGCGGCCCAUUAGCUUGUUGGUGAGGUAACGGCUCACCAAGGCUACGAUGGGUAGCCGGCCUGAGAGGGCGAUCGGCCACACUGGAACUGAGACACGGUCCAGACUCCUACGGGAGGCAGCAGUGAGGAAUAUUGCGCAAUGGGCGAAAGCCUGACGCAGCGACGCCGCGUGGAGGACGAAGGCCUUCGGGUCGUAAACUCCUGUCAAGGGGGACGGACGUCGUAGGGAUGAAUAAGCCUUACGUUUGACGGUACCUCUGGAGGAAGCCCCGGCUAACUCCGUGCCAGCAGCCGCGGUAAUACGGAGGGGGCCAGCGUUGUUCGGAAUUAUUGGGCGUAAAGGGCGCGCAGGCGGCCAGGCCAGUCGGAGGUGAAAUCCCUCAGCUCAACUGAGGAGCUGCCUCCGAUACUGCAUGGCUUGAGU